AACCUGCCCAUUACUCAGGGAUAGCCUUGCGAAAGUAAGAUUAAUACCUGAUGUUGUUAAAAACCGCAUGAGUUUUUACCAAAGAUUUAUUGGUAAUGGAUGGGGAUGCGUGACAUUAGGUAGUAGGUGAGGUAACGGCUCACCUAGCCGACGAUGUCUAGGGGUUCUGAGAGGAAGGUCCCCACACUGGAACUGAGACACGGUCCAGACUCCUACGGGAGGCAGCAGUGAGGAAUAUUGGUCAAUGGACGAGAGUCUGAACCAGCCAAGUAGCGUGCAGGAUGACGGCCCUCUGGGUUGUAAACUGCUUUUAGUUGGGAAUAAAAGAGGGACGUGUCCCUAAUUGUAUGUACCAUCAGAAAAAGGACCGGCUAAUUCCGUG
rnacentral:rRNA from 1 species